AUGAAUCCUCUGGGUCAUUUUAUUUCUUGAAUCUGACUCUCUUCCACGGAGUGGCCGCAUUCAGUUUCAUCGGCUCAUAUCAAGAACGAUUCUCACCUCGAGGGACUUAUUUAGUGCUCCGAUCUGAUGUGUAAGCCGAGUUGAUUGGUAACGAUGUGUAAGCCGUAGAUUGGUGGCGAUAGAAAUGAGAUACCAGCAGGCAAUGACGAUUAAGGUAAGUAUAUCGACCCCUGUAGAU
rnacentral:lncRNA from 1 species